GUGGUACGUGUGCUAGGGGAUUGUGCCCUCUGGUCGCCCGGCUCGGCUGAGCCCUCGAGUGGGAAGCUGACAGUGGGAAGCCCGCGAGACGGCGCUCCCCGGAAGGCUCUGGGGAAGGCGCGACUCUCGGCGGCUGGGGGCGACACGGUCGUUGGGGCUCCCGCCGCGCUCCUUAGGAUGCAGUUUGAGCCCAGCCCGCAGGUGCCGAGGUCCCCAAUCCACGCUCCACUCCAGCGGGCUCGACGGGCGCAGGGCAUCCUGGGCGUCGUGGUUUUCGAGGACUGGGCGGGCCCUGCGCGCUGCCCCGCCCUUUGCACGCGCCCCUUAAGCUGUCAGCGUCGCGAUGGGCUCCGCGGCUCCGCGCGUAAGCGGCUGGCGGAGGGGCGGGGCCUGUAGCGCGGCUGCCCGCGGAUUGGCCGGGUGCGGCGGGGUGGGCCCGCGCAUGCCCUUAAGGGGAAGCGCGCUGGCGGCGGGGGGCAGCGCCAAGAUGUCGACGGCGGGGCUCCCGGAGCUGAAACAGAUCAGCCGGGUGGAGGCGAUGCGCCUGGGCCCGGGCUGGAGCCAUUCGUGCCACGCUAUGCUGUACGCCGCCAACCCCGGGCAGCUCUUCGGCCGCAUUCCCAUGCGCUUCUCGGUGCUGAUGCAGAUGCGCUUCGACGGCCUGCUGGGCUUCCCCGGGGGCUUCGUGGACCGGCGCUUCUGGUCGCUGGAGGACGGGCUGAACCGGGUGCUGGGCCUGGGCCUGGGCUGUCUGCGCCUCACCGAGGCCGACUACCUGAGCUCGCACCUGACCGAGGGCCCGCACCGCGUCGUGGCUCACCUGUACGCGCGGCAGCUGACGCUGGAGCAGCUGCACGCCGUGGAGAUCAGCGCGGUGCACUCGCGCGACCACGGUCUGGAGGUGGGGCCGCCGCCCGGGCCCCGCCCCCCGCCCCGGGGUUUGGCUCUGGCCCCGCGGAAGGCACCGAUGGGUGCUGGGGCUCGUGCGGGUCCCACUGUACACCCAGAAGGACCGAGUCGGCGGCCUGCCCAACUUCCUGAGCAACGCCUUCACCAGCACAGCCAAGCACCAGCUCCUCUUCGCCCUCAAGGUGCUCAACAUGAUGCCGGAGGAGAAGCUGGCUGAGGCCUUGGCGGCAGCCACAGAAAAACAAAAGAAGGCCCUGGAGAAGCUGCUCUCUUCUUCCUGAGCACGGUCUGCAGGCAGCUCCAGGGGCUGAUGUGGAAGUACUGGCCGGGGUGCAGAAUGACAGCCGCAGAGCUACCACAGGACAGGAAAGUCACCACUGUCAGCCUCCCUGCUCUGGAAAGACUCCUCAGUGAAGCUACCAGUUCCCCCGGCGCCUGCCUGGCCCGGGCGUCGAUUCUGCCUUCGAGCCUCUAUGCAGUGGCCAGCAUGUGUGGGCAGAGGCACUUGGUUCUGUGAAUAAAACGCCUGUACCUUG